UGGGAUUUGAAAGAUUUUGCAACCGAACAGUUAACGUUGAGUAUCGCGUGGAUAAGUAUCAAACAGAUCAAGUGACUCUCAAACGUUAUAAAAGUGUGUAUUUAUUGGAACAAAUGUGGAUUAACUGGUAAUCGAAUAUGAAGAUGGAUGGAUCAAAUGUCCGAAAAUUGGUAUCAAACGACGAAGACAAGGAACAGAUCGUAAACCCAGACAAGCCUACAGUGCCAAGCAAUUGGAAAGAUUAGAAAUGGAAUUCAAACAAGACAAAUAUUUGUCUGUUAGUAAGCG